UACGUAGGGUGCGAGCGUUGUCCGGAAUUAUUGGGCGUAAAGAGCUCGUAGGCGGUUUGUUGCGUCUAUCGUGAAAACCUGCAGCUUAACUGUGGGCUUGCGGUGGAUACGGGCAGACUUGAGUUCGGUAGGGGAGACUGGAAUUCCUGGUGUAGCGGUGAAAUGCGUAGAGAUCGGAAAGAACACCAACGGCGAAAGCACUCUGCUGGGCCGACACUGACACUGAGAGACGAAAGCUAGGGGAGCGAAUGGG
rnacentral:rRNA from 1 species